rnacentral:rRNA from 1 species
UACGGGGGGAGCAAGCGUUGUUCGGAUUUACUGGGCGUAAAGGGCGCGUAGGCGGUCAGCACAAGUCAGUUGUGAAAUCUCCGAGCUUAACUCGGAACUGUCAGCUGAUACUGAUCUGCUAGAGUGCGGAAGGGGCAAUCGGAAUUCUUGGUGUAGCGGUGAAAUGCGUAGAUAUCAAGAGGAACACCUGAGGUGAAGACGGGUUGCUGGGCCGACACUGACGCUGAGUGCGCGAAAGCCAGGGGAGCAAACGGG